AAAAGAAACAGAGGUGUCUCCAAUUGAUGGCCCCCACAAAAACUCAAAAUUUACACGCCUACCUCCCCCAUCCCUAAUACAUGUUUCCUCGAGCGGUGCUGCACUCCCACCACCACCCGCAGCGCCGCUGCACUCAAAGUGGAAUCGGCGCUGCACACAGCAGGUAGACUGACAGAAAUGGAGAUUUUAGAGUGAAGCGGGUUAAUUCUAUUUUGAUGAAAUUUGAAUGUCAAAAUCGAGGGCAAAUGCGGCAAUCGGAUUCCACUAUACAAUUGUGGCUUCCGUAUCCGAGGGGGGGUGGGAGUUAUGUAAUCGAGAGUGAACAGUGCAUUUUCGUCAGGGCCUUGCAUUUUGCCGGGCCGUCCGUGUAGUGUGCCAAGACUACCAAACUCACGUAUAACAGUGGAUAUCGUUGCUAAUACAGUGUAUUCCAAGCUAUCAAACGUG
rnacentral:lncRNA from 1 species